UCUAAAAAAGUUACUUUAAACACACAAGGCAGGCAAUCGCAAGCGUUUCCUGGGAAGGCUUGCUAUUAGACAAACCCUUUACUACUAUGUAUCCAGACAAAUAUCGAGCCAGAGUCAAAAAUCUGUGGACGCUAUGCUAUGGAUAAAUUAUGAUUUUAUUUAAUAAUCUUAAUUGAACUAUAUCUCUCUUUCAGUGACAGCUCCAGCAUUUUUUGGUGUUUGAGAUUAAUGGUUAUGUUGGAGAGGCAGUAAUCACAGUGUUUGUUGUAACACGUGAUAAUGAGCCACAUUUACAUACUGCUACAGGUCCUGGAUCAAGUAAGUUUGAAUGCAAAGAAGUCAAAUUAUCAAAUGGAGUGCAGGCCAUUCAAAUGACUAUGAAGCCUACUGACAGAAAUGAAGAAAUGUUAGCAGUAUUUGAUCAAUUAAGCAUAAGAAGAAUAAGAAACUGGGAGGCAGACAAAGAGUUGCGAGACAGAGGCAUUGAGCCUGUUACAUGGAAAACCAAAAAGAAGGAAGCUAAACUUGCUUUUCAUGUUUCUAUACCUCCAUCAAAAACUCAUUCUGGAUAUGAACUUACAGCUUACUCAAGGCCUUUUCAAUGCACUGCACCAUCAGGUAAUCCAGAAAUAUAUUGGUCUAGUCAUGCAGAAGGUUCUCCGGUAGGUGGUCAAGAAAUGGGAUUUCAUGGAAAAAAAUUUGCAUCUGGUUUUAGAAUAAGAUUUUUUUCUAAAGAUGAUGAUGGAAAAGCCUGGGAAGCAUAUGCUGAUAUUGAUAGAAAUAAAUCUAGCUUGCAUGCUUGUGUUUUCAAAGUACCACCUUAUUUUCAAACCCAUCUGGUAUCUGAUGUUUCAGUUUAUAUUGAAGUUCGAAUUGGUUCGGAAAAAGAGCCACGAAUCAGUGAACCAGUGCAAUUUAGAUAUUUAGCUGAAUCUGAAAAAAAGUGUAAAAACUGUGAUCAGUAUAAAAGUUUUAUUACAGCCAUCCAUCAGUUGUUUAGUGGUAGACAAGAUCUUAAUGGAAUUGUUGGAUUGCUUCAAAAUGUUUUAAACAAAAGUGAAAGUACUAAAAUUGAUCAUCAAGAUUUAGAAAGUAAUUCUUUUAAAAACAUUGAAUCAUCUGCAAACAUGAACUUGAAUCAAAACAUGGAUAGUAAAGAGUUUCCAUUUGUUAACGUAAGCCAUAAUUCUCAUUUAAGUUUCCCAAUUAAUACAAACAGGAGUGGGGAAGUUCAAAUACUGAACAAUUCUGAAUUUUCAUCUGCAGUUAAUUUUACAAAUGAACUUAAGCCAAGAAGAGUCUCUGUUGGAGGCUUUAAUAAUGUUUUAUCUAACUCAUCUUUAACACAUUUACAUCCAAAUGGGCAAACUGAUCUUUCUUCACAAAACGUUUCCACACAUUCAUCAGUGUUUUCACAAAACUACAUUAACUCAUUAAAAAAUCCAUUUAAUAAUGGCGACAGUUAUUCAUCUUCUCACACUACAGGUCUUCCUUCUGUUGAACAAGAAAAUCUUAUAAUAAAAACUGAUCAAACUGAUAGCUUAGAAAAUUACUUGAACUACUCUCAAAUAAAAAAUAAUAAUGACUGUAUGUCAUUUGCUGAUUCUGACCAUGGCAAUAUUAUGCUUAAAGAGAAAAAGUUAGUUGAUAAUUCAGCUUCUAACACUUUGAUGAAUAAUUCAGAAAAUAGUCUUCAAAGUUUUAAUAGUUUCAGUAACAGCCAAGUAGUAUUACCUGCAUUUACUUAUGCCUCAGUUGAUCUUCAUCAAAGUCCUUCACAGGCAUCCUGUUGUUCUAAACCUGUUGAUAAAGAUUUAACAAUACUAACAAGCAAUGUGCAAGACUUCAAAAAUAUGCAAGAGGUGAUGCAACUUAAUUUAGAUUUUUUAGAAAAACAGAGACUUUUAACUUGCAAUAAUUUGGAUCAUCAAGGUAUUGAAAUUGUUGAAGUUUGUAACAAUCAAGAGCUUCCAGAUAAAACUGAUAAAAUGCAGUCUGGAACACACAACUUACAUAUGCCAUCUGUAAAUGGUUUAAAUAAUAAUCAAGUUGCAUAUCACAAUCAUGAAUGUGAAAAAAAUUUAUUAAUGGACAGUUAUAUUUCUUUACAAAAUUAUCAAAAUAAAGAGUGCGAUAAAAAAUGCUUACAUUCUGUUUCUGAACAAGAGUUUGUUUGUAAUUUGCAAGCAUAUUCACAUGGUGAUGAUUAUGUAAGAGUUAAUCAGUUGUACUGUCCAAAUACUCAAAUUCAAGAACACCCUCAAAACACAGCAACCCAAAACAGAGAAAUUGAUGCUUCUUUUAUGCAGCGUAACUUUCCAGCAUCUCCAAUCUGGGUCAAUAGACAAUUAGAUGAUGUUUCUACAGAAUAUAACUAUUAUGUAAACAGUACAUCAAAUCCAACAAUAUCAUUUACAUCUGGCGACAUGAGUAAUUUGAAUUGUAUAAACAAGUCUGUAGUUGUCUCUUCACCAUCUUCAUUAUCUUUUAGUUUAGACAACUCAAAUUUGUUGAACUCUUUGAAUCAAAAUGAUAAAUUAACUUCUCUUGCAGCAUUUGAGCAUUAUCCUCAUAUUUUUAAUUCCGAAAAUGUCCACGGAAAUUCACAAACUAAUAUGGUAAAUGAAAUUCAAAUGGGCAAUGUUGAAGGUUUAAAAGGUUCAAGAAGGCUUCGUUAUCAAGAAUGUCAGCUUAUUUCAUUCAAUAUAGUAUUUUGCAGAACAUAUGAAAUUGUGAAGAUAGUUUGAGAUUGGAAAGUUGUUGAUCUAUUAUAUGGUACUAUUUAAUUUUUAUCUAACUACGAUUUUUCUGUUAAGAUAUUAGUUGUUAUGUAACAUUUAUUGAUACGGUCGAGUUUGACACACACAUGCCAGCUGGUAUUUAAAACUCUUUCAAGAUAACAUUUGCAAUAGGUAAAGUUAAAAAAUUGUUUGUACCAAAAAUGAAAUCAUCUUUACAACUGCAUUUACCAACACUAAUUGAUUUAUUUUAUUUGAUGUGAUUCUCAAAACUGUGUGUAAACAUUUUCCCAUCAUGUCUUCAUUUUAAGAGAUUAAACACAUUUAUAUUUUUUUAUGCUCAAAGAUCCUUUCUAUAUAAAUACUUCACAGAAGGUGAACAGACAGGUAGAAAUAUGAGUCCAGGUGGAGAAGUUACUUUGUAAAGAUCUUGAUCCCACCAAUAUGCUACUAUAUGCACAAUAGAUCAAGUCUUUGUAUUUGAGAUGUGCAAAAAAGUACAAAAAAGAAUCUUUUGAAAAAAUGCUAGAAUAAUCAUUCCAAUAAAAUAAAAGCAAUCAUCCUAUCGAUGAGGAAGAAGACACAAUUUUAAUAACAAUAAUGAUGACAAUAAUGACCAAGAUAAUGACAAUGAAUAAACAAUGGCAAUACAAGAACAGGAACAUUUUAUCAUCGAUGAGCUAGUUGCUUAUUCGAGACAGUUGAGUGGCUGUGCAAUACAACAAUAUUUGGUACCGUGGUAUAGUUACAAAGAUUAAUGAACAUGACGUCAGUGUUGUUAGAAACCGUAGCAACAUGUGACAGAAACUUUUUUAAAUGGUCAGCUACACAGAAGUUCUGAAAUAUGGGAAAGAUAAAAUUUUGAGUCAUAUUGCCCCCAACUAAUCCAAUGAACCCAAGAAUCUGUUUCAUUAUGUCUUCAUGUGAAGCUAUGUCUUCAUGCGAUUUAAGAUUAUCUUGAAAAGAUAAAAAAAGAUUUACGAAUAAAUGAAUGCUAUAACAUGCAUAGACAAUUUUCUAUUGUAAAAAUAAUAUUUUUAAAAAUCACGAUUUUUUUCAUUUCUUAAAA